ACAAACUACUUCAUCAUCUUAUUUCAAAUUAUCAGAAUGGCUAGAAUGGUGUCAGUUGGCUUAAUCCAGCGCCGAUCCACUCUAAAACGGACUGUUUAAUAAUAAAUAGUGGAAAUGCAGUGAGAGAGAGAGAGAGAGAGAGAGUGAACCGAAUGACGCCUUAAUUUGUUAUCGUAAUCUUUGGGAACGAUGCCGCUGCGCCGAAAAGAAAACAUUGUAAACGCGAUUAAAAUACUCCGGGGCGUGAUUAUCGAUAAUUAAACAAUCGGUGUUUCCGUAGUUGUUAGAGACAGAACAAAGAUAAUCACGCGAGAAUCAAAUGUUUAUCCUAGCUGCCGGCUUCUUUUAGUCUCGUUCGGUCGGUGUUCCACAAGGAACGAAAUUUACAACCGACGUAAAUUAAGAGGUCAUUUGAAUUGUACUGUUAACACGCACAAGUUAACACCACAACAUCAAAGUCGCUUAAUUGGUAAAACCGAAAAGAGAAAAUUAAAAUUUACCAAACGAAAUAUUA